GAUUUCAACUUAAAAAAGUUAUCAACAACAAAAGUGUAUAACUCUUCGAAAUCUAUAACUUUUAUUUUGGUCAUUUUUUCAUCCAACAAAGUGUUAGUAAUAUUGUUCACAAAAUUGACAUAUCUGAGUUAUAGUAUAUAGACCAGAUGAGAGAUAUGUAAAUUUUGUGAAUAAUAUUACGAUCACUUUGUUAGAUGAAGAAAUGACCAACAUAGAAGUUAUAGAUCCUGAUGAUUUGUACAUCUUUGUUGUUGAUCACUUUUUCAAUUGAAAUU
rnacentral:pre_miRNA from 1 species